GAUGAACGCUAGCGGCAGGCUUAAUACAUGCAAGUCGAGGGGCAGCAGGGUGGUAGCAAUACCAUCGCUGGCGACCGGCAAACGGGUGCGGAACACGUACGCAACUUACCCUGAACUGGGGAAUAGCCCGGGGAAACCCGGAUUAAUACCCCGUAAGAUAAUGAAGUGGCAUCACUUUACUAUUAUAGUCUUUCGGAUGGUUCAGGAUGGGCGUGCGGCUGAUUAGGUAGUUGGUAUGGGUAACGGCCUACCAAGCCUUCGAUCAGUAACUGGUGUGAGAGCACGACCAGUCACACGGGCACUGAGACACGGGCCCGGACUCCUACGGGAGGCAGCAGUAAGGAAUAUUGGUCAAUGGACGCAAGUCUGAACCAGCCAUGCCGCGUGGAGGAUGAAGGUCCUCUGGGAUUGUAAACUUCUUUUACAGGGGAAGAAACUCCCGCAUUCCUGCGGGAUUGACGGUACCCUGCGAAUAAGCACCGGCUAACUCCGUGCCAGCAG
rnacentral:rRNA from 1 species